rnacentral:sRNA from 1 species
AGUGGCUGGCGGCUGUGGGCGAUGACUAUGCUGCUGUGGUCUGGAGGCCUGAGGGCGAGCCCAGGUGGUGAUCUGAGGGGAAGGGUGCUGGGGAAGAUGGAGAACAGCUGCAGCCCAGAGAGGAAAAGGGACAGCCCAGAGCCACAGGCUCCAAGCCAGGGCUCUGUCCACUGCCCUGCAGAGAGGGAGGGGCAUGUACCCCAUGGGAACAUCUCACCGCUCUAUCCCCUCAGGUUCUACCCAGAUGAAGAGAGUCCCAAGCACUGGACCAAAGAAAGGCACCAGUUUCUGAUGGAGCUGAAGCAGGAAGCCCUCACCUUUGCCAGGAACUGGGGGGCCGACUAUAUCCUGUUUGCAGACACAGACAACAUUCUGACCAACAAUCAGACUCUGCGGCUUCUCAUGGGGCAGGGGCUUCCAGUGGUGGCCCCAAUGCUGGACUCCCAGACCUACUACUCCAACUUCUGGUGUGGGAUCACCCCC